rnacentral:rRNA from 1 species
CAGUCGCCGCGGUAAUACGAAGGGUGCAAGCGUUACUCGGAAUUACUGGGCGUAAAGCGUGUGUAGGUGGUUGUUUAAGUCUGUCGUGAAAGCCCUGGGCUCAACCUGGGAAUUGCGAUGGAUACUGGGCGACUAGAGUGCGGUAGAGGAUAGUGGAAUUUCCGGUGUAGCAGUGAAAUGCGUAGAGAUCGGAAGGAACAUCUGUGGCGAAGGCGACUAUCUGGGCCAACACUGACACUGAGACACGAAAGCGUGGGGAGCAAACAGGAUUAGAUACCCCCGUAGUCCCUGUCUCUUAUAC